GGGGGAGGGGGGCGCCGGACAGUUCGUGAGGUGUUGGCCCUCUCAAAAGCCAAUAACCCCAAGCUAGUCUUUCUUUCCGAGACUAGACAAGAUGCAAGGAAAGUUGAAAAACUGAAGUGGAGACUUGGUUUGAAAGAUUUCCAUGGUGUGAGUAGUGAUGCCAGAAGUGGUGGAUUGGCUUUGUUCUGGGAUGAAUCAUUA
rnacentral:rRNA from 1 species